rnacentral:rRNA from 1 species
GACGAACGCUGGCGGCGUGCUUAACACAUGCAAGUCGAACGGAAAGGCACUGCUUGCAGGGUACUCGAGUGGCGAACGGGUGAGUAAGACGUGGGUGAUCUGCCAUGCACUUCGGGAUAAGCCUGGGAAAAUGGGUAUAAUACCGGAUAGGAGACAUUAUUAGCGUGAUGGUUGGAAAGUUUUUUCGGUGUAGGAUGAGCUCGCGGCCUAUUAGCUUGUUGGUGGGGUAAUGGCCUACCAAGGCGGCGACGGGUAGCCGGCCAGAGAGGGUGGACGGCCACCUUGAGACUUACGUGCGGCCCAGACGGCGACGAUAGGACGCAGGGCGGAAGACUGCUCAAGCGGCGCAGGCCUGAUGCAGCGGGGCCGCGUGGGGGAUAGCGGCCUUCGUGUUGAAGACUCCUUUCACUAUGAACGAAGCUUGUUGUGACGGUACCUAGAGAAGAAGCACCGGCUAACUACGUG